AGCUUCUCAGAAAAAUAACUACUUCAUCACUGUUAUCUGUGGGAGUCUGAGCUGGUCUGAGGCCAGCAAAGGUCACCUUCAGAGUUCCUGGAAUAAAAAACAGCAACAAAACAACAGAAUCUUGAACUGGCAAUGUGUAAAUGAUGAGAGGAACAGGAAAUCUUCGAUGUUGCAGGAUGUAUUUUGCAUGGAGCAUUUGCCUCUCUGCUAACCCAGGGUGAGGGCUGCCACCUAAUUAAAUAAUCUUCUGUCCUGACCCUUCAAAGGCUGUAAGCAGCUUUUCCCAGCAAAGCAGAUACUUGUUCUGGGGAAUUUUGCUAAGAAGUAUGUUCUGACUGCUCAAAGACUGCAUAACUGGUUUGCAGUGCCAUCAUGUGUGUGAAAUGAAAUAAGUUGUUAGAGCUUUCAAGGAAGAUGUAAUGCAGCACAAUCAGACAUAUCCAUGCAAAUGAACAUUCAAGGCCCUCUCAGCUCAGGACGUGAGACUACACUAAGGGCUUCUCAAUUCCUGUAAAGUCUGAGUGACCCUUGGCACAGUCUUUUAAAGAGGAAGUGCUGCUAGCUGAUCAAGGUCCCUGAAAGUGCUGGAGAAGGGCAGGGAAUGCCUAAAGCCUGUAAAGCUUUUAUUAUUAAAGUAAAACAAACAAACAAACAAGAAGACCAACAUCUAUCAUCAAAGCAGUCGUAGCUGGAGCUGUAAAGUGCUUGGCAUCAGUGAAUAAAGAAGUAGAUUCUUGGAGGUUCUUUAACUGAACUAAAAUACAGCUUAACCAGGGACUAUACCAUAUUUUAAUUCAUGUUAAUGUGGAGUGAAAUAUAAAUAAGAAUUAAGAAUAAGAACCUGCCCUAAUGUGCAAGGUUUGGCAAUGCACAUGUUCAUUCUGCAUAGUUUUUAAGUAUCUUGUUUGUGUAAUGUAUAAGGAAAAACUCACCUCUCCAAUGGUAAAUGCCUAAAUUUAUUGGUAUUUUUCUAAAAUUCUGUUUGCAUUUUAAUGCUCAGUUGGUUAAUUUUGUUAGUAAAUUUCUACUGCUCUGAAUAUGUGACCAUGUACGUCUGUCCCAUACUAUAGAAUGCAACAGGAGGUUAAAAUAAUAAAUUCUUGGAAUCACAGGUAGCCAUUUUGAACGUGUUCUCAAGAUCUCCAUUCAUGGUUAUCCAGACUUUGUGUCAUUUUGUCUUCUCCUGUGUACUUCUUGACAGUCUGGGGAUGGGUGGGGGGGAAACUCUGCAGAUAGGAGAUGUGAAUGGUUUCCUGUGGAUUGUCCUGUUCCACCAAGGUGCGAGAUUGAGUUGGAAGUUCUCCGAAUCUCUGGGCAGGGCAAUGAGAGCUUGUUGCUCACAGCAGGCAGCCCCUGCUGCCCCAUUCCUACAACUGGCUCUUACUCUUACUGCUGUAAGAGUUUGAAGACAACACACAGUUUUGAAUACAUUAAUAAGAAAAUGCACUCUGAGACCACUGGUCAGUACAAUAAGCCGUUUAGCUGUCUCUGAAUGCAGCUGAUAGCUCUAGUACCAGUGUUUGGGGAUGUCUGGUACUUCGCUAUGGAUUAUCUUGCAGACUUUCAUGAGUGCUUUGGGAAUUGAUAAUAAUGUUUUAAAGGAUAAACGGAGAUUGUCUGACCUUAUUGUCUCCCUUUGCAGUGAUGUUCUAUUCCUAGCAUCUGUAACUAAGUACUCAGUAGAUACAUGGAUCGCUUUGAUAAACAUGUAAAUAUUUGUCACUUAAAAAUUUUUGG
ensembl:lncRNA